rnacentral:snRNA from 1 species
GGAUGUGAGGGAGAUCUGGCUGCGACAUCUGUCACCCCAUUGAUCACCAGGGUUGAUUCGGCUGAUCUGGCUGGCUAGGCGGGUGUCCCCUUCCUCCCUCACCACUCCAUGUGCAUCCCUCCCGAAGCUGUGCGAUAGGUCGAAGAGCGACCUUCCCCACUAGAGGAGGACCGGUCCUCGGUCAAGGCUAUACGAGUAGCUGCGCUCCCCUGUUAGAAGCUCCAAACAAACUCUCAAGAAAUAGGGUGAUACAUAGAGGGAGAUCAGUGGAACAGAAUAGAGAACCCAGAAAUAAAUCCAAAUAGCAAUGGUCAACUG